rnacentral:rRNA from 1 species
CAGGCCUAACACAUGCAAGUCGAACGAAGGCUUCGGCCUUAGUGGCGCACGGGUGCGUAACGCGUGGGAAUCUGCCCCUUGGUUCGGAAUAACAGUUGGAAACGACUGCUAAUACCGGAUGACGACGUAAGUCCAAAGAUUUAUCGCCGAGGGAUGAGCCCGCGUAGGAUUAGCUAGUUGGUGUGGUAAAGGCGCACCAAGGCGACGAUCCUUAGCUGGUCUGAGAGGAUGAUCAGCCACACUGGGACUGAGACACGGCCCAGACUCCUACGGGAGGCAGCAGUGGGGAAUAUUGGACAAUGGGCGAAAGCCUGAUCCAGCAAUGCCGCGUGAGUGAUGAAGGCCUUAGGGUUGUAAAGCUCUUUUACCCGGGAUGAUAAUGACAGUACCGGGAGAAUAAGCUCCGGCUAACUCCGUGCCAGCAGCCGCGGUAAU